AGAGUUUGAUCAUGGCUCAGAACGAACGCUGGCGGCGUGCCUAACACAUGCAAGUCGAACGGAAUUAAGGGGCUUGCUCCUUAAUUUAGUGGCGCACGGGUGAGUAACGCGUGGAUAAUCUGCCCUGGUGUCCGGGAUAACAUUUCGAAAGGGGUGCUAAUACCGGAUAAGCCCACGAGGACUUAGGUUCUUGCGGGAAAAGGUGGCCUCUAUUUAUAAGCUACUGUAUCAGGAUGAGUCCGCGUACCAUUAGCUAGUUGGCGGGGUAACGGCCCACCAAGGCGACGAUGGUUAGCUGGUCUGAGAGGAUGAUCAGCCACACUGGAACUGAGACACGGUCCAGACUCCUACGGGAGGCAGCAGUGGGGAAUUUUGCGCAAUGGGGGAAACCCUGACGCAGCAACGCCGCGUGAGUGAUGAAGGCCUUCGGGUCGUAAAGCUCUGUCAGAGGGAAAGAAGUGUAUAGUGGUUAAUACCCAUUAUACUUGACGGUACCCUCAAAGGAAGCACCGGCUAACUCCGUGCCAGCAGCCGCGGUAAUACGGAGGGUGCGAGCGUUGUUCGGAAUUAUUGGGCGUAAAGCGCGUGUAGGCGGUUUUUUAAGUCUGAUGUGAAAGCCCCGGGCUCAACCUGGGAAGUGCAUUGGAAACUGGGAGACUUGAAUACGGGAGAGGGCAGUGGAAUUCCUGGUGUAGGAGUGAAAUCCGUAGAUAUCAGGAGGAACACCGGUGGCGAAGCGGCUGCCUGGACCGAUAUUGACGCUGANNNGGAAAGCGUGGGGAGCAAACAGGAUUAGAUACCCUUGUAGUCC
rnacentral:rRNA from 1 species